CCGCAGCAAGCUGGCAAUGCACUCCCCGAGUCGCCACCGCUCACCGCAGGCUGGUAGUGACCCUCUGCAAGCUGGCGCCGCCCCCCGUGAGCUGGCACUGCCCGCUCCUAGGCUGGCAGUGCCCUCACCACGACGGCGCCGCCGGCAGCGCAGGCUCGGCGGUGACCUCACCAAGAUGGCGCCGACGUCCCGCCUGCGACGCUGACCUCACCAAGGUGGCUCCGGGGGCGGUUCCCGCCGCCCCUCCUUUCUCGCAUGCGCAGAGCGCUCAGGCCAGGCCGCAGGGAGGGGCACAGGGGACAGAGCCACUCUGAAGGCUGCCUGGGGGGCGUCUGGGCGCCGGAGGUGGGAGCUGAACUGCUUUGCCCCAGCCCAGCUGCAGAUCUGCACUCAGCCUCAGCCCCAAGCCCUGGCAGGGUGGGAUGCUUUGGUACCAGGCCGUGGAGCUGUUUGAAAUGCAAUUCCUGCUUGCAGCUGGUUCAGAAAUGGAUUUCCUGUGGCUGUGGGGGCAGAAAUGUCUCUGUGGUUUGCACUUUGCUUUCCACUCCACUGGCCAAGCCAGCCAGAUGUGCAGCAGCAGCAGGAUGGGCACGAGGGCCCCAGCUGCUGCGGUGAAUCUGUCAGCACGGACGCUGGUGCCGCUGCAGCCUGGCCCUGCAGCCUGGCAGGGUGAUCUCCUUUGGCUCGGCUCCUGUGGGCUCCAGCUGCAGGGAUGGAUUUGCCUGCACUCAAGCUGCUGCUGCCAGAGCCCCUCCGUGUCAAUCUGUGCUGCCGUUGGGUUCUGCAGCUCUCUCCAGCAAGCAUGGCAUGAGCUGAAGGAGCAGCAGGAGCAGCAUGGCCGUUCCCCAGGCAGCAGGAGGGUUCAGCCCAGCACCAGCUCAUGCGGGAGGAGCAGGUGCUGAGGGACAUCCCCCACGAGACGCAGGUGGCCAAAGAGGCUGGGUCAGGUAAAGCUUUGUGUGGAGUUUGUGCUCCUUCUGGCAGUCAGGUGCACCGGUUCUGAGGAGUAGAAGCAUGGAGUGGUUGCUGUUGGA